UACGGGGGGAGCAAGCGUUGUUCGGAUUUACUGGGCGUAAAGGGCGCGUAGGCGGUCGUGACAAGUCACUUGUGAAAUCUCCGGGCUUAACUCGGAACGGUCAAGUGAUACUGUCGGACUAGAGUACAGAAGGGGCAACUGGAAUUCUCGGUGUAGCGGUGAAAUGCGUAGAUAUCGAGAGGAAGACCAGUGGCGAAGGCGGGUCUCUGGACAGUUCCUGACGCUGAGGCACGAAGGUCAGGGGAGCAAACGGG
rnacentral:rRNA from 1 species